GUGUCCGUGCUUGGUUUUGUAAUGCAUUUCAGCAGAUUUAUAUGGGUCCAGAUUUUAAAAUGGGAGUAUGGAAAUAAAAGACGUUAUCACGUAACAUGCACUUCUCACCCUGUCAGAUCAGCACCUGUUGUGCCCAAGAUUGCGAAUGCGAGAAAACCGCCAAGGAGCCGAGGCCGAUGCAAGUACAUGAGGGUUUAUUGAGAAGCUCGAGCUUGGGUCCAAGUACACCCGACACAGCGGAGCAGGGACUUGGAACCUGAGGUUAUUGACUACUGCUGAUGGAUGAGGCGAAAUACUCACAGUGCCAGGAAGAAAUGAAUUCGCUGGUACUGCCAGGAGAAGAGACCAGCGCGGCUAAAAUAGGCGAUGACCAUGGACAAGAGAUACUGGCGGAAAGAGGAGAAAAGCCGUCAUAGAAGGGUCCCAUCCUGGGAGAGGAAGACCAGUGAGUGGCAUCGGGGUACAAAGAUGGCCUGUCCUCCCCUCCCCGCCCCCGCCCCGACACAGCCGAAGGCACUUAGAUUCAAAAGGCCAGUAAGCGCUAAGAUGUCUCAGGAGUGCAACUGCAGCUAAGCUUUCUCAUCCCUCUGUCAUUUUUAAGUGUCCCCGAUGAGGGGUCAGUAUGGAGUCCUCCAAGGAUGGAGAGAGAGAGCUCAGCGACCUGCAAAGAAUUAUUUUCCAUUGGAAAAGCGUCGCCGUUGGAAGUUUCUGGUGUUUUCAGGAAAAAAGAAUAAGGUUGGAGGGUGCUGUUCCUACCGAGCAGCCUGUUGAACGCCUCGUGGUGCUCAGGGAGCACUGAAGAUAGCCGCUGUCUCUUCAGCUUCAUCUUGAGGCCACUCAGUGUCUCCACCACCCAGAUGUCGUUGGCCUCAGGGGCUGUCUCCUCAUCGGAUUCGAUGUCUCUCUUCCUUCCGCGGGACUGAGGCAAGGGGCAGGGGUCUACAAAGGGGGCUGAGUGAAGAAACCAGGCUACAGUACAAAGCUUCUUCUGUCUUUGGAAUUCAGCCACGCUUUCCACACCCCCAAACCCAAACUCCCUCUUCAUUUCUCUGUGGCCUCAUAGAUGAUUGGCCUCUCCAAAACCACCUUUCAUCUUUGUCCUUCAUUCAUAUGCAUUUGCCCCCAUUCAUCUUUGCCACUGUUUCAUACCUCCCACCACGCCCUCAAAACUCUUCCUGGUAGAUCAUUUCUCCCAUGAGGAUAAUGGGAUAAUUUCCUGUCUUCCUUUAUCUCCUCUUUGGAUGUCAUCUCCUAACCCUCCUUCCUUGCUUCCUGGGUUUUCCUUCCAGUGCGAUACCCUUGUCCCCGGCUCCCGUGCUCUCUUCUCCAAUCCCUGGCUUUCUGAAUCUCUCCUGUCACGUGCAGUCUAGUCAGACACACCUUCCUGGCUUCUGUACCCAUUUGUACUCACUAGUCAAGCCUGUCAAGUCCCUUCUCCCUCCUGCUUCCUCACCUGAUGGUCCUGGGCUUUCUUCAUCUACCACGGCCUCCGGGGGGUACCCUGAUGUGCUAGGCUGGGGGCUCUGGCCCUCAGACUGGGCGGACGGUUGACAACUGGCCAUGAUUUCUCCCAAGCUCUUUGUGCCCUCCCAGGAGACUCAGACCCUCCUCUUCUCAAACUCCCCUUCUGGCUUCUGGGUGAACCCAAGCCCUGUUAUCCCUUCUCUAAGCCGGGGCCAAGCUAGGAGUAUGGACAUGCUCUGCGAAGAUGCUCUUGUCCACCUCCGUUGCCAAGAACCAUGGAGUCCAGUCUUUCCAAUCAGGAAGGUCAGAAGCCUCUGAUGUCAUGCACCAUUCCAGCCUGGCAGCCAUUUUGAAGGAAGACACGUGCAACUGCGAGACCGAGGUCCACUUCUGGAGUUCAGGAUCAAGGCUAUCUCAUGUCGCCGAUCCAGCCUGCAACCGUCCUCCAAAACUGUCCUCGGGGUGUCUGGAUCACUCUACUCCUCUCCAGCAGAUGCGGGGCUCUCUGCAUCCUUCUAUUCCUGUUUCACGGUGCAGUCUGGCAGCAGAGGGAGGAAACAGACGAGGGAAGACCUAGAGACACCCUAGGAAGACGGCUUGCAGUGCUAACUCACAGAACAGAAUUCUGGGAUGGGGAGACGGGAAGAGGUUCUGGAUACCGACUUCGAAGAUCUGGUGUCUGAAGCUCAGUGUUAAAGGGAAAAUUUGGACGCAAACAUCCAAGUACAGAGAAGAGAAUGGGAUGACACAGGGAGAGAAGACUGACAUCUACCAGCCAGGGCGGGAGGAUGCAACAGCCCCUCCCCCACAGCACUCAGAAGGAACCAGCCCUGCCCACACCUGAAUCUCAGACUCCCAGCCUCCAGAACAGUGAGAGAAUGUAUUUUUGUCGUGACAGCCUGAAAGCUGCCUGGUUUGUCUUACUUUGUUACAGCUUCCCUGUAGGCAGAUCCACACAGUAUUUUUGAAGAAGAGGGAAUUCAGAUUUGACAGUCACUUUCCUGAUACUUCUGCUGCCCCUUUCCCCAAAGCAAGACGCGUCCAUGUCCGGAGGCUUCAAAGAAGAAUGGGUUCUUUCACACAGAUUAGAACCUUGAGCUUUCUUAGCCUCUGGCAUUUCCUGGUCAAGGUGACUGUUCAUUUUGGAAAACAUGGUGGAAAGACUUCAAGAGAAGAAUGAUUUACAAAUCUUGAAGAUGGGUGUCAGUUAGCUUAAUAAAACUGAUGCAUUAAAGAGAGAAAAAUAAACGGGAGCAAACCGAGGCAACUACUUAGGAAAUUAAGGGUGGGAAAGGCUUCUUCAAAGACAGUGUCUAAACAGAUGAAAAGUAUGAAGAGGAAGUGAACGAUUUGAACACAGAAACAAUAUCCAUAUGACAGAAAAUAAAGUAAAACAUUAGGUUAAAAAGAUCAAUGACUUGGGUCGCCUGGGUGGCUUUUUAGUUGGGUCUCUGCCUUCUGGCCAGGGCAUGGUCCUGGGGUCCUGAGAUCCAGAUUGGCCCCCGUCGGACUCCCCUGGGGGAGCCAGCUUCUCCCUCCACCUGUGUCUCUGCCUCUCUGUGUGCAUCUCUCAUGAAUGAA